UACGGAGGGUGCGAGCGUUGUUCGGAAUCAUUGGGCGUAAAGGGCGUGUAGGUGGUCUGCUAAGUCAUGUGUGAAAGCCCCCGGCUCAACCGGGGAAGUGCGCAUGAAACUGACAAGCUAGAGUACCAAAGAGGAGGGUGGAAUUCCCGGUGUAGCGGUGAAAUGCGUAGAUAUCUGGAGGAACACCGGUGGCGAAGGCGCUCAUCUGGCCCAAUACUGACGCUGAGGCGCGAAAGCUAGGGGAGCAAACGGG
rnacentral:rRNA from 1 species